rnacentral:lncRNA from 1 species
CCGAUGCCUGAAUUAUAUAUGAAGGUAAGGAAGCUUUCUAAAGAAUUUUACUUUAAACAUCGAUUAAAAACGUCCAUGUCAUCAAUUUUUUAUAUCACUAUACCACUUUUUAACUCUCGGAUUACAAAGUAUAAACAAUUUACAAGAGUAGCCCAUUUGAUUAUAUAUUCAAUGCCAGUACAGAAUUAUCCCAUUUCAGGUUUAAUUAUGUAAUUGGUUUUAAGCAAAGCAUAAAUCUAUACAGUAAAGUACAAAUUUUGAUUCAUUAUUCACAGUUUAACACAUAUAUAAAAUCAAUCUAACUUUCACCUUUACCUCCAGAGGAAAUCUUCCCAUUCCUUCACAAACCAUGCGUAGUGUUGCUAACUUGCCGUGUCCUUUUGCAGAAUUUCAAGUGAGUCUGUUGCAUGAAAUUUGUUUGAUUGUUAUCUCAUUUUUUAAAUCGUAUCUGUGACGUAUCCUUAAUUGAGUAAAGACAAGUACGAUAGGUACAACACAUAACACACUGUAAUAAUUUGACUAGCAAGCUCACAAUACUCUUCAACUUAAAACAAAAGAUACCACAGCUUGCUGCGGUUUUGUUUUGAUGUCCUUAAAUGUUGUAAGCAUUUUGCUUUACUUUAUUUUGGUUGUGUCAAACGGAUAGAGUGCGCAAACGAUAAGACAAUAUUCAGUUCCACGUGUGAUUGAAUGUUAUUAUACAGCAAUCAAAGUAAAAUAUCUAUUGCCAUAAGCAGGUGAUACGAUAAUUAAUACUUUUUAAUUGUGUCUCGCAUGAACUGAAAUAAGGUUU